rnacentral:rRNA from 1 species
GACGAACGCUGGCGGCGUGCCUAACACAUGCAAGUCGAACGAAGUGGCGAACGGGUGAGUAACGAGUAAGCAACCUGCCCUUCAGAGGGGGACAACAGUUGGAAACGACUGCUAAUACCGCAUACUGAAGGAGGUGCUUGGGUCGUAAUAGCUAGUUGGAGGGGUAAAGGCCUACCAAGGCGACGAUCAGUAACUGGUCUGAGAGGAUGAUCAGUCACACUGGAACUUAGACACGGUCCCGACUCCUGCGGGAGGCAGCAGUGGAGAAUAUUGGACAAUGGGCGAAAGCCUGAUCCAGCCAUGCCGCGUGUGUGAAGAAGGUCUUCGGAUUGUAAAGCACUUUCAGUUGGGAGGCGUUACCGACAGAAUAAGCACCGGCUAACUUCGUGCCAGCAGCCGCGGUAAUAC